rnacentral:rRNA from 1 species
AUUCAAUUGAAGAGUUUGAUCAUGGCUCAGAUUGAACGCUGGCGGUAAGCCUUAAACAUGCAAGUCGUGCGGUAACAGACAUAAAGAUUUAGCUUGCUAAAUCCGGUGCUGACGAGCGGCGAACGGGUGAGUAACACGUAGGAAUCUACCCAGUAGCGGGGGAUAGCCCAGGGAAACUUGGAUUAAUACCGCAUAAGCCCUAUGGGGGAAAGAAGGCCUCUCUUUGAAGCUUUCACUAUUGGAUGAGCCUGCGUAAGAUUAGCUUGUUGGUGGGGUAAAAGCCUACCAAGGCAACGAUCUUUAGCUGGUCUGAGAGGACGAUCAGCCACAUUGGGACUGAGACACGGCCCAGACUUCUACGGAAGGCAGCAGUUAGGAAUAUUGGACAAUGGGGGCAACCCUGAUCCAGCUAUACCGCGUGUGUGAAGAAGGCCCUAGGGUUGUAAAGCACUUUAAGCAGGGAAGAAGUAUAGUAAGUUAAUAUCUUACUAUAUUGACGUUACCUGAAGAAUAAGGACCGGCUAACUCCGUGCCAGCAGCCGCGGUAAUACGGAGGGUCCAAGCGUUAAUCGGAAUUACUGGGCGUAAAGCGCGCGUAGGCGGUUUAAUAAGUUGUAUGUGAAAGCCCUGGGCUCAACCUAGGAACUGCAUACAAAACUAUUAAGCUAGAGGACGAGAGAGGAGAGUAGAAUUUCAGGUGUAGCGGUGAAAUGCGUAGAUAUCUGAAGGAAUACCAAUGGCGAAGGCAGCUCUCUGGAUCGUUUCUGACGCUAAGGUGCGAAAGCGUGGGUAGCAAACAGGAUUAGAUACCCUGGUAGUCCACGCCGUAAACGAUGAUAACUAGCCGUUGGGCAGAUUUAACUGUUCAGUGGCACAGCUAACGCAUUAAGUUAUCCGCCUGGGGAGUACGGCCGCAAGGCUAAAACUCAAAUGAAUUGACGGGGGCCCGCACAAGUGGUGGAGCAUGUGGUUUAAUUCGAUGCAACGCGAAGAACCUUACCAACCUUUGAAAUCCAGAGAAGUCACCAGAGAUGGAGAUGUGCCUUCGGGAACUCUGUGACAGGUGUUGCAUGGCUGUCGUCAGCUCGUGUCGUGAGAUGUAUGGUUAAGUCCAGUAACGAGCGCAACCCCUAUCCUUAUUUGCCAGCGC